ACGAAGGGGGCUAGCGUUGUUCGGAAUCACUGGGCGUAAAGGGCGCGUAGGCGGCUAUUCAAGUCGGGUGUGAAAGCCCUCAGCUCAACUGAGGAAGUGCGCCCGAAACUGCAGAGCUUGAGUGCCGGAGAGGGUGGCGGAAUUCCCCAAGUAGAGGUGAAAUUCGUAGAUAUGGGGAGGAACACCGGUGGCGAAGGCGGCCACCUGGACGGUAACUGACGCUGAGACGCGAAAGCGUGGGGAGCAAACAGGA
rnacentral:rRNA from 1 species